GAUGAACGCUGACAGAAUGCUUAACACAUGCAAGUCUUUGGCGAAGCUGUGCUUGCACAGCCUAGCCAAGGCGGACGGGUGAGUAACGCGUAAGGAACUUGCCCUGCAGUCAGGGAUAACAGACGGAAACGACUGAUAAGACCUGGUAAAGUCAGGCGGACUCAUGUCCAGCCUGAUGAAAAGAGAUGCUGCAGGAGAGCCUUGCGUUCUAUUAGCUUGUUGGUGGGGUAACGGCCCACCAAGGCGAUGAUAGGUAGCCGGCCUGAGAGGGUGGACGGCCACAAGGGGACUGAGAUACGGCCAUUACUCCUACGGGAGGCAGCAGUGGGGAAUAUUGGACAAUGGGGGCAACCCUGAUCCAGCAAUUCUGUGUGCACGAUGAAGGUUUUCGGAUUGUAAAGUGCUUUCAGCAGGGAAGAAAAAAAUGACGGUACCUGCAGAAGAAGCGACGGCUAAAUACGUG
rnacentral:rRNA from 1 species